AAAGGUAUAACAGAAAACGGAAAUUAAUGUGCGGUACGGUUGAAAUAUAGUGCGAAAAGUCGAAAGGACGAAAGGGCUUACCUUUGCAAGUAUUAUAGGUUUAUAGUGAUGUUGAUGUUGUGUUGAUGUUAAUACGAUAUACGAGUAACUGUGUAGAUAUGCAUUAUUUACAUUGGCCGAGAUUAGGUGUUUGUUGAAAAUAUCUGCGAUUAUGAUGAUAAAAGGAUAUUAUUCAUUUCCAAAUUAAUCGUAUACCUAUCUGGCAUACACACUCGAAAAAGGAUACAUCUAAAUAUAAAAUAACAUUCUACUACAUAUACUAUACGUAUGUGCAACAUGAUGGGUAUAAUUUAAAUAAUAUACAAGGAUGAAGCAGGAACAGCAACACACCUGGUAUUGACCAGUUUUUAGCAGUUUAUCAUGCUCAUUAAUCGUAUUACGAACCAAUCCGAUAGUUACUGUUGUUGUUGUUUUUAUUUUUGUUAAGAUUAAACAUCUCCAAGGACGGAACGGUAAUCAUUUCCAAAAUUAAACCAAAGGAUUUUAUUAGAAAAUUUCAACGAAUUUUUGAAACCCAAAUACAAAAAUCUAGCAAAAGAGGAGGGAAUUGAAAUUUCAAAAAUAACAAAAGAAAAAACACAAAAAAUAAUAUUAAAGGACUUAAAAAGGGAAUUGGCGAAGAAACAUAAAGAAGAUCAAAGAGCAAAAUAAUGAAGGAAAAUAAUUAAAAAUAAAUAAAAGAAAAAAAAAAACAAUAAUUUCCCCAGCAGCAGCGGUUACUUACACCAAAAAUAAAACAUCCCUACAUAAAUAUUUCGUUAGAAGCAUAUCCGGUUAAUUUUUAACGUGUUUUUUUAUUUUUCUACCCUUAUUGAGUGGUGAAUGUUUGUGUGUGUGUAACAUCGUUUUCCUAUUAAUUUCCCUUACCGUGGUCGAUAGAUUCUCGUUUCAUUUAGAUUAUGUUGUUUGGUUUGUUCGAAUUUUGAAAUUCAUAUUUAAAGUUCAAUCCUCAAAAAAAAAAGCUGCUACAUUGUGCUUCAAUCAAAAUGGUAUCGAAUAUCAAAGCAUUCUAAAAAGUUUUAGAUAAAUUCAGUUCGGUUCUUGCGGAAAAUAAAAUUAAUUAUAAGUCAGUGGUCAAGGAUACCUUAACAUAGAAAAUUGGAACAUGGAUCUGGAGAUGCAUUCUAUUCUGCGUAUCAUCGCUGGUGUCCUUAUUUCGGUGACACUUUUCACAAGACUCACUUCCGGACAAAUCGAUUGGGAUGACGACGAUGACCCAGGUAA